rnacentral:rRNA from 1 species
CCCCUAGACGUUCUGGGCUGCACGCGCGCUACAACAAUACGCACAGCGAGUAUCACCGAGCUCGAAAGGGCAAGGUAAACAAUAGAAAAGGUACUGUAAUGGUUAUAGAUCCUUGUAAUUAUUGAUCUUCAACGAGGAAUUCCUAGUAAGUAUGUGUCAUCAUCACGCACUGAUUACGUCCCUGCCCUUUGUACACACCGCCCGUCGCUCCUACCGAUUGGGUGAGCCGAUGAAACUCUCGGAUGUAGGCUAUUCAUAGCCCGCAGAAGAGAUUUGAAUCGUAGCGCUUAGAGGAAGGAGAAGUCGUAACA